UUGACCUCGGAUCAGGUAGGAAUACCCGCUGAACUUAAGCAUAUCAAUAAGCGGAGGAAAAGAAACCAACAGGGAUUGCCCCAGUAACGGCGAGUGAAGCGGCAACAGCUCAAAUUUGAAAUCUGGCCCCAGGCCCGAGUUGUAAUUUGCAGAGGAUGCUUUUGGCGCGGUGCCUUCCGAGUUCCCUGGAACGGGACGCCAUAGAGGGUGAGAGCCCCGUACGGUUGGACACCAAGCCUCUGUAAAGCUCCUUCGACGAGUCGAGUAGUUUGGGAAUGCUGCUCAAAAUGGGAGGUAUAUUUCUUCUAAAGCUAAAUAUUGGCCAGAGACCGAUAGCGCACAAGUAGAGUGAUCGAAAGAUGAAAAGCACUUUGAAAAGAGGGUUAAACAGCACGUGAAAUUGUUAAAAGGGAAGCGCUUGUGACCAGACUUGCGCCCGGUGAAUCACCCAGCUCUCGCGGCUGGGGCACUUCGCCGGCACAGGCCAGCAUCAGCUCGCCGUCGGGGACAAAAGCUUGGGGAACGUAGCUCUCUUCGGGGAGUGUUAUAGCCCCUUGCAUAAUACCCUUCGGCGGGCUGAGGUACGC
rnacentral:rRNA from 1 species